AUGGAUUUGGGGCCAGCGGUGCCCCUUCUGGGGCCUCUCUCUGCACGAGGUGUUCGUGUUCUUCCCCUUCCUGGAGUUUAGUCUUUGCUGCUUCUGCCCGCGUUUUGCAGUCCUCGCUCCAACGGUAAGAAUCAUCAAACAGUCCACCAAGGAUCCCGUCCUCUGGCUCUUGCUUUUCCUGUCCCGCAGGAAGCUGAGAACACCCUGCGUCUGAUGCAGAACAAGCUGAAGGAGGAAGAGAAGCGCCUGCUCAAGAGCGGAAGUAAGCCUGCGCCUCCUAAACGGCCUGCUCGUCCGGGCCGCGUGGGUCUUGGCCUGGGCAAACGCACACGUAUCUUUAUUUUCAAACGGCCAUUUUCUCACGCGUCUUACAUCAGGUGUCGUUUUCAUUUUCUCAGGAGCUCAAGAGCCUGUUUUAGAUUACGUGGCAUUUUUAAGCACCUUUGGUCUUCGUGCCAGUGAAGUCACAUCGCCCCUGUUUGGAUGAUGCAGUUGGUUUGAAUCAUGCACAAGAGCGGAUGUGCGCUUGGAGGCCUGGUGGGCGCCUCACGUGCCGGCCAUCUGAGGGCAGCAGGCUUCGGGGCGCAGUGAACGUGCGUGUGCUUGUCAGCAGCAUCCCCGCUGUGCACACCCCCGCCCCGUGGCCCCAGUGACCCACAGUCGUUCAUCCGGGCUGUCACCCGUGGGGAAAGGGGGCUCCUACACGCACGCGCUAGACGCUGGGAAGGACGGUUCCCGCGGCUGGUUAGCGCCCUUCUGUGAAUGUCACUGAGGUGGCGGUCAUCUCCCUGUCGGGCUGAUGGCUUGGCCUCAGAGCCGCUUCUCUUGCUCAUUUCUCUUGUCCGUUGUGACCUGCUCUCUCAGGCGUGAGGGCAGCGUACCUGGGACAGCAGGCAUGUCCUCGCUGACUUUUCCACGUGGGUCUCCGUCCUGUUGCGGUUGUUCUGUGCCCCUCUCCCCUGAGUCUCCAGAAAGUCUGGGAGGAGAGCAGGGACUGCCGGGAGACCCUCCGGGGCAAGUUUAGAAAAUGCCGAGGGCCUCUCUAGCCAGAGCAGCCGCUCACCUCUGUGGUUCCAGGUCCGCCAGGAGAGCCUGACGCCGCCCUGAGGGAUAAGCCUGCCUGCCGUUUAUCCCCUUCCAAGAGGCCCGGGCGGUGGGCCGCAUCCCGCGCUGCCCCCGGCCCAGCCUGUCAAGGCCUUUCUCACCGGACUCGGCCUGCUUUGUGAUCCAUAGGUUUGGGAUCUCACAAAGGACAGAGAGUCUCGUGCGUGUGUGUGCUUUAGUGUUUUUGGAAAAAUGAUUUCCGGUUUAAACCAGCUUAAUGAAGGAUAGCGUUCCGUCAGUUCACAGUGAGCAGGGAAGUUAGGGAAAUACUCAGGAAGAACCACUCUCAGGCCUGGUCAUCCUGCGCUUCCGCUGUCCCGUCUUUUUUUGCUUGUCUGCCUGUGUGUGUGGGAACAGUGCCCAGAGUGUGGGAUACGGAAGAGGAGAGAAGUCAAGGAAGACCCCGUGGUCUUUCCCCUGUCUGUGAAAGACUCCUCUGGGCAGAAGAAUCUGGCGGUACAGACACAGGGAUGUGGGGUGGGAAUGAACAGAUCUCAGAGCUGGAGGAGGCCAUCUCGUUCAGGCUGCGGUGCCCGCAGCUGAUGGAGCCCAGUGCAGCCUUACCAAGUGUCUGUCCCAGGCGCUGAGGACAGGCGGGGACGACAGACAGGGACACUUGCCUUAGCAGUUUGACAUGCUGGCAACCUGCUAGGAGACAGCUGACAAGCAGGCUGCUGAGGCCAGUGCGAAAGGUCGUGGAGGUCGGCGAGGGGGCGUGGAGCAGGUGUAAUAGAAUGUAGUUUUUUUAUUUUUUAAAUUUUUAAACUUUAAAAAUUUUUUUGGCUGUGCCCAUAGCAUAUGUUCCCAGGCCAGGGAUCGAACCCACACCGCAGCAGUGACCUGAGCGGCAAGAGUGACAACACCAGAUUCUUUAACUGCUGGGCCACCAGGGAACGCCUAGAAUCCUAGUUUUAAACCGGAGUCACGGUACACCUCAUGGGGAGUUGCUCCUGCAGAGACUAAAUCUCUCCCUUGGGGAGAAGAAGGUUCCAGAUGAGGGAAGUCCCAGAAAGGCUGUGAGCCAGAGCCCAGGGGAGGGGCUGCAUUUCCCUGAGUGAGGCAGCAUGUGAACACACAGGGCUCGAGUUCAGGCCGAUUAGAUGAGCUGGAAGGUGGGCCAUGUGCUUCAAGGGUUCAUAUCUGACGGAUAACAUCUCGCUCUUUUUUUUUUUUUUUUUGACCGCACCCAAGGUAUAUGAAAAUUCCUGGGCCAGGGCUUGAACCCGUGCCACAGCAGUGACCAGAGCCACAGCAGUGACAGCCCCAGAUCCUUAACCCACUGCGCCACAAGAGAACUGCCAGAUACCGUCUUUUCUUGAAGAAGGCGAAGUCAUUUCACAUUUGUCUUUGGGGUUUGGAGUAAAGGGUUUGAGGAAGAGGAAGUUUGAGUCAGUAGAAGUGGGAGUGUGCCCGAGAUGCUCCAGUGACUGGAAAGGCGGAGUGCUCUGGGCAGAUGCCCUGAGUAAAAAUCAGGGAUAGCUCUUCAUUUUCCCAUCAUCCUUUUAAACCUCGUCGGUGGUGGUAGAUUUAUAACCGUAUCCUCUAUAGCCGUCAAACGCUGUAGCACUAGGGACUUAAAAGAAUCCUCUGAAUUUAGAAGAUGACCCAGGAAUUUCUAGAAAGCAGCUGAGCAACCUUGCUGUGAUUCUGUUGUUACGUUCAGUGGAGAGCAGGUGUUCGUGCGUUUCUCACACACUUGCUGCCUGCCUCUACGUGCCAGGUGAUGGGCAGCCGUGAGAGCAGCAGCGAUGGAACAGGUGCUCGGCAAGCUCCAGGCUGAUAAUUGCAGUCAGCACCGGCCCCGAGCUGGUGUUCUGAAGUGUUCUUGGAAGCUAGCUAGUCCAAGUGGAUAUGCACUGUUUCUGGAGGAUAUAUACGAGGUUGUAAAGACUUCGUUUAAGAGAAAAGUAAAAUGACUCAUUAAUAAUUUUUUUGUAUUGCUUUCUUUCCGAAGUGACAUUUUAGAUAUGUUGGGUUAAAUAAAACAUUAUUGAAGGUAAUUUCCUUUUUCCCUUUCACUUGAAUGUGGUUACUAGGAAAUUUUAAAUGGCAUCUGGGGCUGGCAUAUUUCUAUCAGACAGUGCUGAUCUAAAAGGAGAAACUUGGGUGUUCCCAUCGUGGCUCAGCAGAAAGGAAUCUGACUAGCAUCCGUUGAGGAUGCAGCUCACGGCAACGCUGGAUCCUUGACCUACUGAGAGAAGCUAGGGAUUGAACCUGCAAUGUCAUGGUUCCUAGUCAGAUUUGUUAAUCACUGAGCCAUGACGGGAACUCCUCGGGAACUUUUUCAUGCCAUGGGUGCAGCCAAAAAUAAAUAAAUAAUAAAAGAUAACCUUAAACAGAAACUGACUGUAGUUGAGGUGGAAAUGAAGUAUAUUUCAUUGUGGGUAUAGUUUGAAUUCUUGUGCUAGCGAAUGAAAUGGAGCAUCUUUUCAUCUGCUCGUUAGCUGUUUGUGUAUCUUCUUUGGAGAGCUCUGCUCAAGGCCCUGACACAUCUUUACGUCGAGUUAUCUUUUUAUUGCUGAGUGACAUAGUCUAGGUGCUAGACCUUUAUAUGAUUUGUGAUCUCCAGAAAUUUUCUGUCAUUCUCCAGGCUGUCAUUUCACUUUGUUGAUUCUGUCUUUGAUGCACAAGCUAUUCAUCAAGUCUGGCUUAUCAGUGUUUACUGUUGCUGUUGUUGCUUGUGCUUUCGGUGCCCUAUUUAAGGCACUGCCGAAUUCAGGGUCACAGUUUUACCCCGAGGAGUUUUCCUCUAGGAGUUUGGACAUUUUAACCUUUGCAUUUAGGCCUCUGACCCACUCUGAGUUAAUUCUCGUGUAUGGUGCAGAGGUAGGGGUGCAGCCGCGUUCUUUGGCAUGUGGCUCUCCAUUUGUCCCAGCACCGUUUUUGGAAAGUCUGUUCUUUCCUGGUAGAAUCAUACUGGCACUCCUGUUGGCCCUACUCAUUUAUAACACAUCACUGACAACUCGGUGAUUUCGAUGACCGCACCCCUUAACUUUAGUUUACAUGCUUGGUCCUCAGCCUGUUGCUGUGAGUUCUAAGAGGAAGCGGUACGGAGCCUGAAUUGCCUGUAGUAAUGUCUUAACUCAUGAUAGGAGUUCCCAUGUGGUGCAGUGGGUUAAGGACCUGGCAUUGUCACUGCAGUGCCUCAGGUCACUGCUGUAGCUCGGGUUCCAUCCCUGCAUGCUAUGGGAGCCGCCAGAAAAGAAAACAACAACAACAACAACCAGAAAACAAAACAAAAAAGUAAUGAUAACAUUUGCUUUUUAUUGUGUGGGGUGAGAAUUUAAUGUCAUCAUUUUCCUGAAUAGUGAUCUCAUUUUAUGGUCAUUAACGUGUGUUACUGUUUGAUCACAUUUUCUCACGGCUUCUGUCAGCUCCGUUGCCCUGGCGGCCUCGCAGGAUGCUCUUGCUGACAUUUCUCCAGCUCCCAGGUGGGCCCCUUCGGGCCGUAGUGCAGGCUGUCCCCCUCCGGGCCGGGGGACCAGAGGACCUGCCCUGGGUGCCCCGCCGGACGCAGCUGCCAUUUCAUUGGGCGCAGCCAAGCGUGUUCGUCGGUGACGGUCACGCUCCUUCCAGACCAUCAGCGCAGCGGCUGCAGAUUCUUGCAGAGCCGCCUUCUGAAUCCUCUGUCCCUUCUGGGCCCAGCGAGGUCGGGCCGGGCCGGGCCGUGGGAACUCGCCUGGGGGCUUCCACUAGAGAGUGGUGUUCAGCCUGCCGCAGACUCCAGAGGCGUCCUGAAGAUGUUAAAGCGAGCGGCUGUUGGUUGAGGAUGGCCUUUCCUUAUCUUUAGGGUGGGCUUCCUCAGGUGGGGAGGGUCAGAGCCCCGGCUUCCUGCGCCGGUCGGGCGGCCGUCUCGCCUGGGCAGCCCACCCAGGCCCUCGCUAGCCUGGCGCCCCCUCAUCUCCAGGCUCGUUCUGGUGCAGCUGCUGAGUUUUUCCUCGUUAUCCUCAAGGAGCUUGAGCUGUGGUACCACAGCCCAACUGCGCAGAGCAGGGUGCCCCCUCAAAUCAGCAAGCACGUGCAGCUCCCUGGAGGGCUGGCUUGUCCCCUUUUUAACGUCUAUACUGAAAGAGUGUUUCUGACUGAUACGGCUGACCGGCUUCUUUCUUGCUCUGACAAAUUGUUUUUGAGAGGCAUGCCGAGGCGCACAGAUGGCUCUUCACAAGAGCCUUGUUGGACAGGAGCCAUCUUAGAGGUGAGGUAGGAGCUGCCCUUUUGUUUACCUGCUUGUGUUCCUGCCAGGUCAUGACGACUCGGACAUGGACAUCCAGGAGGACAACGAGUCCGACAGUGAACUGGAAGCGAGACGGCUGUCCAAGCCGUGGACGGCCGUGGAGGUGCUCAUGCAAGGACGAGCCAGUAAGCGCAUCGUGGGCACCAUGCAAGGCGCAGACUCGGACGACGACGAAGACUCAGAGGACAGUGAGAUUGACCUGGAGGAUGAGGAGGACGACGACGACGAUUUGGAGGACGAGAGCAUCGCUGUCUCACCCGCCAAGCCCAGUCGCAGAGGCCGGAAACCUGAGCCCCUGGAUGAGAGUGACAAUGAUUUCUGACCUCCUGGCCAAGAGACACAGGCAGACUAGAACCCUCAGAUUUGUAGGUAAAGGGCGGUCGGAGGGGCCAGCAGGAAACAUGCACGGUGUUGGAGAAGCCAGCUGGACUCCCUGUUGAGGAAGCACAACCUGCUUCUGCCCUAGCCUCCUGUGCUUUACUCCCCAGGGCUUAAGCUAGAACCAGAGCAAACCCCAAAGAUUGUUUUGCCUUAUUUAUCUCCUAAAACUUGGGAAAUGCAUGCAUUCUUAGUGAUUCACAUCCACAGGACAAAAACGUGAGAAAGAACAGCCAACACUCAGUAAGUAUUGGCUGUUGUUUCUGUCACUCAUUUCUGCUGAGUCGGCGGGACUCAGAGCCCCGACCUGUGGCAGGAACUGGACACAGGACUCGUUUUGGGAAUUGGAGGGAGUGUCUGACUCUUAAUCACGAACACAGUUUAGAACGUUUCCGUUAUAUCAGCUUUUACUCCUAGUCCUUAUUUCACACCGUACUCUUGCUUUUUCCUUCUGCAUGCUCACAAUACCAAGCUUUUAAAUGUAUUUUACUAACACUUUCUUAGAGUUGGCUGGCUUUGAUGAAAACCAACUUUCCCUGAAAAGUGGGCAGCAGAGAGAUGCUCCAGGUUAUGCAUCCUCUGUUUCCUCUUGGAGGCUGGCAGUCUGCCUUAGAAAAGAGCAAAUUAAGGAAAAAGUGUAUGUAUGGAUUUGUGUUUCUGACUCAAAAAAGUGAACCAGAAUUGAAUUCAAUAGAAUAGGACCAGGAGAAUUUCCCUUUUGUAAAAUGAGACGCAUCAGAGAGUGGGCUUGGGUUUUGUUGUUCUGUUAAUAUGGAAAGCACAGAGUUUUCAUUUAUUUUUCAGUUACAAAGUCAAAAGACUUGUGAAGUUCUUUAUCUCUUAAUAAAUGUAUUGAAU
ensembl:lncRNA